rnacentral:lncRNA from 1 species
GUAAAGAAAAAACACCGAUCUUGUCUGUGAAAAUCAUUUUAGUUAAAAGUAGACUGUAGUCUUUGAGGAAAUGUAUCUUCAGUCAAAUCUGAUUCCUGAGAGUUUAAUGCAUUUUAAUAGGAAGGUUAGCUAUUUUUCGUCAGUGAGCUAUUUAUGCUCACCCACCUCUGAUACGUAGUCAAGAGACUUUAAUUUCAUCAUCUGUUCCUGCUAACCUUCCAUGAGAUCAGUCAUUGGCACUCUGUGGAUAGGUCUGUUUCCUCAGUAUGUGCAUACAGUGCCCAUGUUGCUCUUGUAGAAUAGAAUCCCUGCAUGUGCGUAUAAGCGUAUUAGUAUAGCUUUAUUCAGUCUAAAGUGCUGAGUUAGGAAUGUCUGAAUGCCUGUGAUUCAAUUCCCUCUUAGAUCUGUUUCCUCUAUGAGUGUAUUUGGAUUCGUACUAAAGAUGAGGUUUAGAUGCAGGAAAACACAUUAACAUCCCAGUUCCCCUGCUGUGUGUGCUAACAAGGCCAUGGUGACAGCCCUGCAUAGGCUUCCUGCUGCCAUGUUGCACAUUCCUGUAGAAAAAUCAGGGAAUUUGGGAAUGUUGAGGACUUGCCAUAUUCACUCCUGGGGCAAGCUGUUGUGUAAGGGUUUGUCAUGGACAGAUGCAGAGAAGACAAGAGGGAGCUUAGUACUGAUACCUGGCAGACACGAAACAGACAUAAGAUUCUGGUAUCACCUUCUGAGAUUGUGUAUUGCCUGACUUAAAUGUCCUGUCAAAUACAUGCAAGUUUCUAAAAGCGAGACCGGUGGUCUUUCACUGCAGAUUGAAGUUUUCUCCUUUCAGUUUGUUUUCCAUCCUCACUGUCAGUGUUCUCUUUAGAAGUGGUGAUGUGCAGAAGUUGAAAAUGUGCUUGUGUUGGGUAUCUUCUGACAGUUUGCCACUCUUUUUUUCUGGAUAAGUAGUACUGCGGGUCAUGCAUUAAACUCUUUGGAUCUGUUCAGCAGCUUAUUAGUGUGACUUAUCUGUGUUUGAGACUGCCGUUGUGCAGCCCCUAUUGGUGCUGUCUUUCAAAGCAGGUGAUCAUCUGCAGGCUGCCUAUCGGGAAUGUCCUCUAAACCAUGCCCAGAAAUUGUAUGGGAGAGUACUCACAAAGGGCUGGGCGAGAAGAGGACAGGAACUAUUUUAAUGAGGAAGUACAGUUGAUGAGGUUUUGAUGUUUGUGCCAUCAUACAGUCUAACUUUCCUAGCAGCUCAUGAGUCAAAAGGAAGUGUCCUGCCAAACACUCCAGAGAAGUAUGCAGUAGUCGUGGGCUUUGCGACUGCUUUCUGACUGGUGACUGCUAAGAUCACGUACUGUGUCUGUGUGGGUGAACUACCUUGAGGUUAACAGUUACCUUGACAUUAACCAUUCUGUAUUGAGGGGGAAACCAGCGAUGUUCUUACACUGGACUUAAAUCUUUCUAAAUAGUCAUUUAUACAGUGAUAACAGGUAACUGAAGACAACUCUUGCUCACUAUUAAUACUGAGAUCAAAUACAAAAGAAUCUUUUUGCUGCUAUGGACCAAGGCUAUCAACCUUACCUGUGUUAUGAGGCUGGUGGCAUGUAAUCUUAUGUAGCAUGUGCAGUAGUGGUUGUUUUUUCAUUCUGUCACAGAUUCUCUCAAAUGUUCACUUAGAAUUGGAUCUCAAUUGCUGUUGAUCCCUGUUUCUUGCUGAGCUUGGUGUCUUUGUACACGUGCACACCUCUGGUGUCUUUGUACAUGUGUACACCUUCAGAUUUGACCACUGGCUUUUCUCUGAAAAAAAUAAAGCAUAGUUGUUUUCUGUUCUUGGGUGUUAGCACAUUGUUAACCAAUUGGAAGGGUAACAUGCUCUUUAUUUCCUUGGGAGAUGAUGUGUGUAUGUAUUAGGGUACAGCUCAUAGGCACAUGUAAAAUUAAUCUACUUCAAAAUACUAUUUAUGAUCUGU